rnacentral:rRNA from 1 species
CGGCCACAUUGGGACUGAGACACGGCCCAAACUCCUACGGGAGGCAGCAGUAGGGAAUCUUCCACAAUGGGCGAAAGCCUGAUGGAGCAACGCCGCGUGGGUGAAGAAGGUCUUCGGAUCGUAAAACCCUGUUGUUAGAGAAGAAAGUGCGUGAGAGUAACUGUUCACGUUUCGACGGUAUCUAACCAGAAAGCCACGGCUAACUACGUGCCAGCAGCCGCGGUAAUACGUAGGUGGCAAGCGUUAUCCGGAUUUAUUGGGCGUAAAGGGAACGCAGGCGGUCUUUUAAGUCUGAUGUGAAAGCCUUCGGCUUAACCGGAGUAGUGCAUUGGAAACUGGGAGACUUGAGUGCAGAAGAGGAGAGUGGAACUCCAUGUGUAGCGGUGAAAUGCGUAGAUAUAUGGAAGAACACCAGUGGCGAAAGCGGCUCUCUGGUCUGUAACUGACGCUGAGGUUCGAAAGCGUGGGUAGCAAACAGGAUUAGAUACCCUGGUAGUCCACGCCGUAAACGAUGAAUGCUAAGUGUUGGAGGGUUUCCGCCCUUCAGUGCU